rnacentral:tRNA from 1 species
ACGUUUUGAGUAUUUAAAGUACAUUUACCUUCCAAGUAAAAAGAUUGAGCAACAAAAAACGUA